rnacentral:tRNA from 1 species
UCCUUGGUAGCUUAAGAGGCAAAGCAAGUGGCUGUUAACCGCUAGAAGUAGGUUCGAGUCCUACCCAAGGAG